rnacentral:rRNA from 1 species
GUUAGUGGAAGCGUCUGGAAAGGCGUGCGAUACAGGGUGACAGCCCCGUACACAAAAAUGCACAUGCUGUGAGCUCGAUGAGUAGGGCGGGACACGUGGUAUCCUGUCUGAAUAUGGGGGGACCAUCCUCCAAGGCUAAAUACUCCUGACUGACCGAUAGUGAACCAGUACCGUGAGGGAAAGGCGAAAAGAACCCCGGCGAGGGGAGUGAAAAAGAACCUGAAACCGUGUACGUACAAGCAGUGGGAGCCUCUUUAAUGGGGUGACUGCGUACCUUUUGUAUAAUGGGUCAGCGACUUAUAUUCUGUAGCAAGGUUAACCGAAUAGGGGAGCCGAAGGGAAACCGAGUCUUAACUGGGCGUUAAGUUGCAGGGUAUAGACCCGAAACCCGGUGAUCUAGCCAUGGGCAGGUUGAAGGUUGGGUAACACUAACUGGAGGACCGAACCGACUAAUGUUGAAAAAUUAGCGGAUGACUUGUGGCUGGGGGUGAAAGGCCAAUCAAACCGGGAGAUAGCUGGUUCUCCCCGAAAGCUAUUUAGGUAGCGCCUCGUGAAUUCAUCUCCGGGGGUAGAGCACUGUUUCGGCAAGGGGGUCAUCCCGACUUACCAACCCGAUGCAAACUGCGAAUACCGGAGAAUGUUAUCACGGGAGACACACGGCGGGUGCUAACGUCCGUCGUGAAGAGGGAAACAACCCAGACCGCCAGCUAAGGUCCCAAAGUCAUGGUUAAGUGGGAAACGAUGUGGGAAGGCCCAGACAGCCAGGAUGUUGGCUUAGAAGCAGCCAUCAUUUAAAGAAAGCGUAAUAGCUCACUGGUCGAGUCGGCCUGCGCGGAAGAUGUAACGGGGCUAAACCAUGCACCGAAGCUGCGGCAGCGACACUAUGUGUUGUUGGGUAGGGGAGCGUUCUGUAAGCCGUUGAAGGUGGCCUGUGAGGGUUGCUGGAGGUAUCAGAAGUGCGAAUGCUGACAUAAGUAACGAUAAAGCGGGUGAAAAGCCCGCUCGCCGGAAGACCAAGGGUUCCUGUCCAACGUUAAUCGGGGCAGGGUGAGUCGACCCCUAAGGCGAGGCCGAAAGGCGUAGUCGAUGGGAAACAGGUUAAUAUUCCUGUACUUGGUGUUACUGCGAAGGGGGGACGGAGAAGGCUAUGUUGGCCGGGCGACGGUUGUCCCGGUUUAAGCGUGUAGGCUGAUUUUCCAGGCAAAUCCGGAGAAUCAAGGCUGAGGCGUGAUGACGAGGCACUACGGUGCUGAAGCAACAAAUGCCCUGCUUCCAGGAAAAGCCUCUAAGCAUCAGGUAACAUCAAAUCGUACCCCAAACCGACACAGGUGGUCAGGUAGAGAAUACCAAGGCGCUUGAGAGAACUCGGGUGAAGGAACUAGGCAAAAUGGUGCCGUAACUUCGGGAGAAGGCACGCUGAUGGUAGGUGAAGCGACUUGCUCGUGGAGCUGAAAUCAGUCGAAGAUACCAGCUGGCUGCAACUGUUUAUUAAAAACACAGCACUGUGCAAACACGAAAGUGGACGUAUACGGUGUGACGCCUGCCCGGUGCCGGAAGGUUAAUUGAUGGGGUCAGCCGCAAGGCGAAGCUCUUGAUCGAAGCCCCGGUAAACGGCGGCCGUAACUAUAACGGUCCUAAGGUAGCGAAAUUCCUUGUCGGGUAAGUUCCGACCUGCACGAAUGGCGUAAUGAUGGCCAGGCUGUCUCCACCCGAGACUCAGUGAAAUUGAACUCGCUGUGAAGAUGCAGUGUACCCGCGGCAAGACGGAAAGACCCCGUGAACCUUUACUAUAGCUUGACACUGAACAUUGAGCCUUGAUGUGUAGGAUAGGUGGGAGGCUUUGAAGUGUGGACGCCAGUCUGCAUGGAGCCGACCUUGAAAUACCACCCUUUAAUGUUUGAUGUUCUAACGUGGACCCGUGAUCCGGGUUGCGGACAGUGUCUGGUGGGUAGUUUGACUGGGGCGGUCUCCUCCUAAAGAGUAACGGAGGAGCACGAAGGUUGGCUAAUCCUGGUCGGACAUCAGGAGGUUAGUGCAAUGGCAUAAGCCAGCUUGACUGCGAGCGUGACGGCGCGAGCAGGUGCGAAAGCAGGUCAUAGUGAUCCGGUGGUUCUGAAUGGAAGGGCCAUCGCUCAACGGAUAAAAGGUACUCCGGGGAUAACAGGCUGAUACCGCCCAAGAGUUCAUAUCGACGGCGGUGUUUGGCACCUCGAUGUCGGCUCAUCACAUCCUGGGGCUGAAGUAGGUCCCAAGGGUAUGGCUGUUCGCCAUUUAAAGUGGUACGCGAGCUGGGUUUAGAACGUCGUGAGACAGUUCGGUCCCUAUCUGCCGUGGGCGCUGGAGAACUGAGGGGGGCUGCUCCUAGUACGAGAGGACCGGAGUGGACGCAUCACUGGUGUUCGGGUUGUCAUGCCAAUGGCACUGCCCGGUAGCUAAAUGCGGAAGAGAUAAGUGCUGAAAGCAUCUAAGCACGAAACUUGCCCCGAGAUGAGUUCUCCCUGAGACUUUAAGUCUCCUGAAGGAACGUUGAAGACGACGACGUUGAUAGGCCGGGUGUGUAAGCGCAGCGAUGCGUUGAGCUAACCGGUACUAAUGAACCGUGAGGCUUAACCUU